AGCGGGUAUAGUUUAGUGGUAAAAUAUAAGCUUCCCAAGCUUAAGUCGCGGGUCCGAUUCCCGUUACCCGCUU
rnacentral:tRNA from 1 species